CCUACGGGACGCAGCAGUGGGGGAUAUUGCACAAUGGGGGGAACCCUGAUGCAGCGACGCCGCGUGGGUGAAGAAGCGCCUCGGCGCGUAAAGCCCUGUCAGCAGGGAAGAAAAUGACGGUACCUGAAGAAGAAGCCCCGGCUAACUACGUGCCAGCAGCCGCGGUAAUACGUAGGGGGCAAGCGUUAUCCGGAUUUACUGGGUGUAAAGGGGGCGCAGACGGCGAUGCAAGCCAGAAGUGAAAGCCCGCGGCUCAACUGCGGGACUGCUUUUGGAACUAUCUAGCUAGAUUGCAGGAGAGGUAA
rnacentral:rRNA from 1 species